UCAGGAUGAACGCNGGCGGCGUGCUUAACACAUNCAAGUCGAACGAUGAACCUCACUUGUGGGGGGAUUAGUGGCGAACGGGUGAGUAACACGUGAGUAACCUGCCCUUAANUNUGGGAUAAGCCUGGGAAACUGGGUNUAAUACCGGAUAUGACUCCUCAUCNCAUGGUGGGGGGUGGAAAGCUUUUUGUGGUUUUGGAUGGACUCGCGGCCUAUCAGCUUGUUGGUGAGGUAAUGGCUCACCAAGGCGACGACGGGUAGCCGGCCUGAGAGGGUGACCGGCCACACUGGGACUGAGACACGGCCCAGACUCCUACGGGAGGCAGCAGUGGGGAAUAUUGCACAAUGGGCGCAAGCCUGAUGCAGCGACGCCGCGUGAGGGAUGACGGCCUUCGGGUUGUAAACCUCUUUCAGUAGGGAAGAAGCGAAAGUGACGGUACCUGCAGAAGA
rnacentral:rRNA from 1 species